GACGAACGCUGGCGGCGUGCUUAACACAUGCAUGUCGAACGGAAAGGCCCUGCUUUUGUGGGGUGCUCGAGUGGCGAACGGGUGAGUAACACGUGAGUAACCUGCCCUUGACUUUGGGAUAACCUCAGGAAACUGGGGCUAAUACCGGAUAGGAGCUCCUGCUGCAUGGUGGGGGUUGGAAAGUUUCGGCGGUUGGGGAUGGACUCGCGGCUUAUCAGCUUGUUGGUGGGGUAGUGGCUUACCAAGGCUUUGACGGGUAGCCGGCCUGAGAGGGUGACCGGCCACAUUGGGACUGAGAUACGGCCCAGACUCCUACGGGAGGCAGCAGUGGGGAAUAUUGCACAAUGGGCGGAAGCCUGAUGCAGCAACGCCGCGUGCGGGAUGACGGCCUUCGGGUUGUAAACCGCUUUCGCCUGUGACGAAGCGUGAGUGACGGUAAUGGGUAAAGAAGCACCGGCUAACUACGUGCCAGCAGCCGCGGUGAUACGUAGGGUGCGAGCGUUGUCCGGAUUUAUUGGGCGUAAAGGGCUCGUAGGUGGUUGAUCGCGUCGGAAGUGUAAUCUUGGGGCUUAACCCUGAGCGUGCUUUCGAUACGGGUUGACUUGAGGAAGGUAGGGGAGAAUGGAAUUCCUGGUGGAGCGGUGGAAUGCGCAGAUAUCAGGAGGAACACCAGUGGCGAAGGCGGUUCUCUGGGCCUUUCCUGACGCUGAGGAGCGAAAGCGUGGGGAGCGAACAGGCUUAGAUACCCUGGUAGUCCACGCUGUAAACGGUGGGUACUAGGUGUGGGGUCCAUUCCACGGGUUCCGUGCCGUAGCUAGCGCUUUAAGUACCCCGCCUGGGGAGUACGGCCGCAAGGCUAAAACUCAAAGGAAUUGACGGGGCCCCGCACAAGCGGCGGAGCAUGCGGAUUAAUUCGAUGCAACGCGUAGAACCUUACCUGGGUUUGACAUGGAUCGGGAGUGCUCAGAGAUGGGUGUGCCUCUUUUGGGGUCGGUUCACAGGUGGUGCAUGCCUGUCGUCAGCUCGUGUCGUGAGAUGUUGGGUUAAGUCCCGCAACGAGCGCAACCCUUGUUCACUGUUGCCAGCACGUUAUGGUGGGGACUCAGUGGAGACCGCCGGGGUCAACUCGGAGGAAGGCGGGGAUGACGUCAAGUCCUCAUGCCCCUUAUGUCCAGGGCUUCACGCAUGCUACAAUGGCUGGUACAGAGAGUGGCGAGCCUGUGAGGGUGAGCGAAUCUCGGAAAGCCGGUCUCAGUUCGGAUUGGGGUCUGCAACUCGACCUCAUGAAGUCGGAGUCGCUAGUAAUCGCAGAUCAGCAACGCUGCGGUGAAUACGUUCCCGGGGCU
rnacentral:rRNA from 1 species